AUGAUCCGGAAUCAAUUUCCCCGCAAAACUCAAACUGUUGUCGGAUUUACGGUUUAACAAAAUAUCGGAUAACUUAGACAAUGGGGGAAGAAAUAAACAUAACAGAAGAUGAAGCAGCUUUGUAUGAUAGACAAAUUCGUUUGUGGGGACUGGACGCUCAGAGGAGGCUACGUGCAGCGAGGGUCCUACUGAUCGGGCUGAGAGGACUUGGAGCCGAGAUAGCCAAGAACAUCGUCCUGGCUGGCAUCAAGUCUAUUACACUGUUAGACUGUACAGAGUCAACGGAAGAAGAUGGGUGUUCACAAUUUCUGAUAUCCAGAAAUGAUGUCGGUAAAAACAGAGCUGAGGCAUCUCUUGAGCAUGCUCAGCGUUUGAACCCUAUGGUGGAGGUGAUGUCAGAUACCCAGAGUGCUGACGAGAAGUCGGACGAAUUCUUCACCAAGUUUGACGUGGUGUGUGCCACUUGCUGUAAACAGUCCACUCUCAUCAGGAUCAACAAAGUCUGCUCUGAUCACAAGGGAAGUUCCUAAACCAAAACAGAAGGAAGAAGGUGGAGAGCCAGACACAAAGAAAGCUAAGAAAGAGGAAAUAGAGAUGGUCACAGUCAAGAGGAGUGUGACCUUCAGUCGACUCCACAGUGCCCUGGAGAUUGACUGGUCCUCCCAGGCAGCCCUCAGGAAGCUCAAGAGGACACCCAAUGCUUACUUCAUCAUGCAAGUUUUACUGGACUUCAUCAGCAACAAUAACAGAUACCCAGACUCCACACAGAAGGAAGCAGACAUAAAGCUGUUAAUAGAACAGAAAACCAAAACCUUGGAGAAACUAAAACUCAGUCCUAGUGUGGUCUCAGAUGAUUUUGCUAGUUUCUGCUUUGCUGAACUAAGUCCAGUGUGUGCAAUCGUUGGGGGAGUCAUUGGCCAAGAAAUCAUCAAGGCAGUUUCUCUGAAGGACCAGCCUCACAACAAUUUCUUUUUCUACAACGGCGUGGAGGGUAGUGGCCUCGUGGAUAACAUCUCAUCUCCCUGACCUGUUUAUAUUUGUUAAUCUGUCAUUACUGAAGCAUCUAUUUGUCAUUUGUAAAAAGAAAUCAACUAGAAAGUAUCCGAGUGUUUUAUUAUCAUGUCUGUGUAGGUAAACAUUCGUUAAAAGAAUUGUAAGAUCGAAAUAAAACAAUGUUAAAACG
rnacentral:misc_RNA from 1 species